UCUGUAGCUCAGCUGGAUAGAGCAACGGCCUUCUAAGCCGUGGGUCGGGGGUUCGAAUCCCUUCAGG
rnacentral:tRNA from 8 species